UAUUCCACGCACAGCUCACUAAUUUUUGAUUCAUGAAGAAUCUGCUUACUGAAAAGUGCAUCAAGCCACUGGUUGAAUUUUCAGCAAAAAAAGAUUAAGCAGAGAAUGGAGAGGAAGGUUGACUCCAGGUCUUUUAGGGACAGUGCAGUAAAGAAGCCUUAUUCUCCAAAGAUACUGUCCACAAAGAAAUCCUCUGCAUUCUCUGGGAGCCGGAGUGAGGGAUCUAGGGCCAGUCAGCCAGUGAAAUACCAUCCCUCCCAGGCCCAGACCCGAAGGGACCGGCUGAGAGAACUGCGUGUCAGAUGCCUGGCCAGAAAGUACUUUCAUUUGUGGAUGCGAAUGACCUUUGGAAGAGUGUUUCCCUCUAAAGCCAGGCUUUACUAUGAACAAAAGAUUCUGCGAAAGGUCUUUGAAGAGUGGAAAGAAGAGUGGUGGGUUUCCCAUCGAGAGUGGAAACUCCGUGUUCGAGCUGACUGUCACUACAGAUAUUACUUGUACAGCCUGAUGUUCCAGACCUGGAAGACCUACGUGUAUCAGCAACGGGAGAUGAGGAGCAAGUACCUGAGAGCCGAGAAUCAUGAUGCAAAGCAAAAGAUGCGGCAGGCCUGGAAGUCCUGGUUGAUCUACGUGGUUUUCCGUAGGACUAAACUUCAGAUGCAGACCACUGCCCUGGAGUUCAGGCAGCGGAGUAUUCUGUGGGUGUGGUGGAGUGCGUGGAGACGGCGACUGGGCCGGGUCCGCCUAGGCCGAGCCCUCCAGGCCACAGCCAUGAAGCACUGGGCCCAGAGCCUCCAGCUGCAGGCUUGGUCACGGUGGCAGGAGCAGCUCCUCUUUGUCUGGAGGGAGAGAAGGAAGACGGUCUCCGCAGUGAAACACCUUCAGCGCCGGCAGCAGUGGAGAGCCCUCAGGGCCUGGCUUGAGUACUUGCAGCUGCGCAGAGAGAAGAGGCUGCAGAACCAGAUGGCCGAGCGAGUCCAUUGCACCACCCUGCUCCAGACGCACUUCUGUGCCUGGCGGCGCGCCUGGGCGCGGAGGGAGAGCCUGCACGCCCACCACGCGCGGGUGGAGGGCCUGGCCAGGAGGACGCUGCUGCGGAGGGCCUUGACGCACUGGAAACACUACACGCUGCUGUGCACAGAGGAAGCUGAGCGGUGGAAGGCGGCGGGAGAACACCACAGGCGCGGCCUUCUGCGUUUUUGCUUCAAAGCCCUGAAAGACAACGUGACCCAUGCCCGUCUUCAACGGAUAAGAAGGAAUCUUGCUCACCAACAGCACGAUGUCAUGCUGCUGCACAGGGUCUGGAACCUCUGGCAGUCGCGGCUCGAGCAGAGGGAGGAAAGAGAGCAGCUGCCCUUCCUGCGUGCUGCCUGGGACCACAGCAGGUAG
rnacentral:lncRNA from 1 species